CUGGGCGUAAGCGCACGCAGGCGGUCUGUCAAGUCGGAUGUGAAAUCCCCGGGCUCAACCUGGGAACUGCAUUCGAAACUGGCAGGCUAGAGUCUUGUAGAGGGGGGUAGAAUUCCAGGUGUAGCGGUGAAAUGCGUAGAGAUCUGGAGGAAUACCGGUGGCGAAGGCGGCCCCCUGGACAAAGACUGACGCUCAGGUGCGAAAGCGUGGGGAGCAAACAGGAUUAGAUACCCUGGUAGUCCACGCCGUAAACGAUGUCGACUUGGAGGUUGUGCCCUUGAGGCGUGGCUUCCGGAGCUAACGCGUUAAGUCGACCGCCUGGGGAGUACGGCCGCAAGGUUAAAACUCAAAUGAAUUGACGGGGGCCCGCACAAGCGGUGGAGCAUGUGGUUUAAUUCGAUGCAACGCGAAGAACCUUACCUACUCUUGACAUCCAGAGAACUUUCCAGAGAUGGAUUGGUGCCUUCGGGAACUCUGAGACAGGUGCUGCAUGGCUGUCGUCAGCUCGUGUUGUGAAAUGUUGGGUUAAGUCUCGCAACGAGCGCAACCCUUAUCCUUUGUUGCCAGCGGUUAGGCCGGGAACUCAAAGGAGACUGCCAGUGAUAAACUGGAGGAAGGUGGGGAUGACGUC
rnacentral:rRNA from 1 species